ACCUACGGGAGGCAGCAGUAGGGAAUCUUCCACAAUGGGCGAAAGCCUGAUGGAGUAACGCCGCGUGGGUGAAGAAGGUCUUCGGAUCGUAAAACCCUGUUGUUAGAGAAGAAAGUGCGUGAGAGUAACUGUUCACGUUUCGACGGUAUCUAACCAGAAAGCCACGGCUAACUACGUGCCAGCAGCCGCGGUAAUACGUAGGUGGCAAGCGUUAUCCGGAUUUAUUGGGCGUAAAGGGAACGCAGGCGGUCUUUUAAGUCUGAUGUGAAAGCCUUCGUCUUAACCGGAGUAGUGCAUUGGAAACU
rnacentral:rRNA from 1 species